rnacentral:rRNA from 1 species
GAUGAACGCUGGCGGCGUGCCUAAUACAUGCAAGUCGAGCGAACGGACGAUACGCUUGCUUCUCUGAUGUUAGCGGCGGACGGGUGAGUCACACGUGUAUACCCUACCUAUAAUUCUGGGAUAACUUCGGGAAACCGGCUCUAAUACCGGGUAAUCUUUUGCACCGCAUGGUUCAAAAGUGAAAGACGGUCUUUCUGUCACUUAUCGCUGGAUCCGCGCUUCAUUAGCUAGUUGGUACGGUAACGGCUUACCAAGGCAACGAUGCAUAGCCGACCGGAGAGGGUGAUAGGCCACAUUGGAACGGAGACACGGUCCAGACGCCUAAGGGAGGGAGCAGUAGGGAAUCGUCCGCAAUGGGCGAAAGUAUGACGGAGCAACGCCGCGUGAGUGAUGAAAGUCUUCGGAUCGGAAAAAUCGGUUAUGAGGGAAGAACAGAUGUGGAAGGAAAUGUGGACAGAGUGACGGUAACGAAUAAGAAAGCCACGGCUAACUACGUG